GACGAACGCUGGCGGCGUGCCUAAUACAUGCAAGUAGAACGCUGAAGGAGGAGCUUGCUUCUCUGGAUGAGUUGCGAACGGGUGAGUAACGCGUAGGUAACCUGCCUGGUAGCGGGGGAUAACUAUUGGAAACGAUAGCUAAUACCGCAUAAGAGUAGAUGUCGCAUGACAUUUGCUUAAAGGUUGCAAUUGCAUCACUACCAGAUGGACCUGCGUUGUAUUAGCUAGUUGGUGAGGUAACGGCUCACCAAGGCAACGAUACAUAGCCGACCUGAGAGGGUGAUCGGCCACCCUGGGACUGAGACACGGCCCAGACUCCUACGGGAGGCAGCAGUAGGGAAUCUUCGGCAAGGGACGGAAGUCUGACCGAGCAACGCCGCGUGAGUGAAGAAGGUUUUCGGAUCGUAAAGCUCUGUUGUAAGAGAAGAACGAGUGUGAGAGUGGAAAGUUCACACUGUGACGGUAUCUUACCAGAAAGGAACGGCUAACUACGUG
rnacentral:rRNA from 1 species